CAACCUGAGAUUGUAAAUCAUGAUCUUGGCAGCUUUUGUGGCAAAUCAGUAGCAGCUGAGGCUGCCUCCGGAAAAAUGCCACUGCUACCUGCCGCUGCCACUUUAUGACAUUAUGAGCCAGCCCUAACUGACCGGGGGGGGCCAGCGGAGCCGUCUGCCUUCCGAGCUGGAUUGAGGUGAAGAGGCUGGCAACACAAACGCACUGAGGCCAGAGAAACAUGGGCCACCAGUGUAAAGCUUCAGGGAGAGCUGAGGGAGAAAGAAACAUCAGAAGCCUUCACCCAUGUCAGGACUAUUUUUGUCCGUGGGCUACAGACUGUGAACAUCUAGAGCUUGGUAGAGGAAGUUGUCGUCCACGUGCAUGAGAGCUACCCCAAACCCAAGAGAGGAGCAGCAGAAAAAGGUGUGUUUCGAGUACAACCUAUUCCAUAACCCAGAGGGUGACACCUGUGCUAUGAGAUGCUCACUGUAACGAAGGUCCGCGGCUAAAAGAGUCCCUGUGGAAACAACACGUUUCUAUUGUUCUGGGAGGGUUCCACAGCGCCGGAUGAAGUGGGGGGUUGGUAAAUCCUAACACUCACCUUUUAACAACCCCAGCAAAGAAUUGAGGGGAAAGCUGAUCGAAGCUGGAAGGAUGAGGCUGACUGACACACUGUCUGGACUGGACUGCUGGCUGAAUGACUGACUAUAGUCAAGAGUAGCAGUGACCAUAUGGGGCUGAGGCUGCGACAAGGUCCAGUCCAGACUCCCUGAUCCCCCCCUAACAAAGAAGAUCAAGACUUUUUCAGGAGCUCGGCAAAGAAGGAAGUGAUGGCAGCAGCCGGCCAAGAGAUGUUGCUUUUGUUUACAAAGAGCACAUGCAGGCUGAGCCGCAGCAUUUCAUAAUGAUAAUAUGCAAAUACAGUGCAUUGUCUACACGAGACUGUUCAACAGUGACCUCCUGUCUGCUGUUGCCAGUCCACGUGUCCUGGAAGAUUUCAAUGUCUCGGAUAAAUGUCCGGUCCAAUAUUUUCUGUGUUUAUUGAGCCUAAAAACAAUUAAUAAGCAGGCUAUAUAAAGGAUGAUGCCGAGCUACGGCUGCCCACUGCUCCCCAUGUGCCCAAAGAGAGCAUUGUAUCUUGCGAUCCGUUAGGCGGUCAAGUUCCAUCAUCCAUCAUUUUUUGCAGAUAUCCAACAUGUUUAACUCACUUAAAUUGUUGAGCUACAGAUGUGUAUUCUGACUGUUUGACUGUAGCCUGUCCUGUUCUGACAUAAACCAGUCAUGUCUGCAGAUAUGUAAAGCUGUGAUUCUCCCAAAAGUGAAUUUGUAUAUAUGUAUUUAUAAUCUAUAUAUUUUAUAUAAAUCUAAAUCACAA